GAUGAACGCUGGCGGCGUGCCUAAUACAUGCCAGUCGAGCGAACGGACGAGAAGCUUGCUUCUCUGAUGUUAGCGGCGGACGGGUGAGUAACACGUGGAUAACCUACCUAUAAGACUGGGAUAACUUCGGGAAACCGGAGCUAAUACCGGAUAAUAUUUUGAACCGCAUGGUUCAAAAGUGAAAGACGGUCUUGCUGUCACUUAUGGAUGGAUCCGCGCUGCAUUAGCUAGUUGGUAAGGUAACGGCUUACCAAGGCAACGAUGCAUAGCCGACCUGAGAGGGUGAUCGGCCACACUGGAACUGAGACACGGUCCAGACUCCUACGGGAGGCAGCAGUAGGGAAUCUUCCGCAAUGGGCGAAAGCCUGACGGAGCAACGCCGCGUGAGUGAUGAAGGUCUUCGGAUCGUAAAACUCUGUUAUUAGGGAAGAACAUAUGUGUAAGUAACUGUGCACAUCUUGACGGUACCUAAUCAGAAAGCCACGGCUAACUACGUG
rnacentral:rRNA from 1 species